CGGAGCUUGCUCCACCGGAAAAAGAAGAGUGGCGAACGGGUGAGUAACACGUGGGUAACCUGCCCAUCAGAAGGGGAUAACACUUGGAAACAGGUGCUAAUACCGUAUAACAAUCGAAACCGCAUGGUUUUGAUUUGAAAGGCGCUUUCGGGUGUCGCUGAUGGAUGGACCCGCGGUGCAUUAGCUAGUUGGUGAGGUAACGGCUCACCAAGGCCACGAUGCAUAGCCGACCUGAGAGGGUGAUCGGCCACAUUGGGACUGAGACACGGCCCAAACUCCUACGGGAGGCAGCAGUAGGGAAUCUUCGGCAAUGGACGAAAGUCUGACCGAGCAACGCCGCGUGAGUGAAGAAGGUUUUCGGAUCGUAAAACUCUGUUGUUAGAGAAGAACAAGGAUGAGAGUAACUGUUCAUCCCUUGACGGUAUCUAACCAGAAAGCCACGGCUAACUACGUGCCAGCAGCCGCGGUAAUACGUAGGUGGCAAGCGUUGUCCGGAUUUAUUGGGCGUAAAGCGAGCGCAGGCGGUUUCUUAAGUCUGAUGUGAAAGCCCCCGGCUCAACCGGGGAGGGUCAUUGGAAACUGGGAGACUUGAGUGCAGAAGAGGAGAGUGGAAUUCCAUGUGUAGCGGUGAAAUGCGUAGAUAUAUGGAGGAACACCAGUGGCGAAGGCGGCUCUCUGGUCUGUAACUGACGCUGAGGCUCGAAAGCGUGGGGAGCAAACAGGAUUAGAUACCCUGGUAGUCCACGCCGUAAACGAUGAGUGCUAAGUGUUGGAGGGUUUCCGCCCUUCAGUGCUGCAGCUAACGCAUUAAGCACUCCGCCUGGGGAGUACGACCGCAAGGUUGAAACUCAAAGGAAUUGACGGGGGCCCGCACAAGCGGUGGAGCAUGUGGUUUAAUUCGAAGCAACGCGAAGAACCUUACCAGGUCUUGACAUCCUUUGACCACUCUAGAGAUAGAGCUUCCCCUUCGGGGGCAAAGUGACAGGUGGUGCAUGGUUGUCGUCAGCUCGUGUCGUGAGAUGUUGGGUUAAGUCCCGCAACGAGCGCAACCCUUAUUGUUAGUUGCCAUCAUUUAGUUGGGCACUCUAGCAAGACUGCCGGUGACAAACCGGAGGAAGGUGGGGAUGACGUCAAAUCAUCAUGCCCCUUAUGACCUGGGCUACACACGUGCUACAAUGGGAAGUACAACGAGUCGCGAAGUCGCGAGGCUAAGCUAAUCUCUUAAAGCUUCUCUCAGUUCGGAUUGUAGGCUGCAACUCGCCUACAUGAAGCCGGAAUCGCUAGUAAUCGCGGAUCAGCACGCCGCGGUGAAUACGUUCCCGGGCCUUGUACACACCGCCCGUCACACCACGAGAGUUUGUAACACCCGAAGUCGGUGAGG
rnacentral:rRNA from 1 species